CCUACGGGAGGCAGCAGUGAGGAAUAUUGGUCAAUGGGCGCGAGCCUGAACCAGCCAAGUAGCGUGAAGGAUGACUGCCCUACGGGUUGUAAACUUCUUUUAUAAAGGAGUAAAGUGAGCCACGUGUGCAGUUUUGUAUGUACCUUAUGAAUAAGGAUCGGCUAACUCCGUGCCAGCCGCCGCGGUAAUACGGAGGAUCCGAGCGUUAUCCGGCUUUAUUGGGUUUAAAGGGAGCGUAGGUGGGUUGUUAAGUCAGUUGUGAAAGUUUGCGGCUCAACCGUAAAAUUGCAAUUGAUACUGGCAGUCUUGAGUACAGUAGAGGUGGGCGGAAUUCGUGGUGUAGCGGUGAAAUGCUUAGAUAUCACGAAGAACGCCGAUUGCGAAGGCAGCUUACUGGACUGCAACUGACACUGAGGCUCGAAAGUGUGGGUAUCAAACAGGAUUAGAUACCCCAGUAGUC
rnacentral:rRNA from 1 species